GACGAACGCUGGCGGCGUGCCUAAUACAUGCAAGUUGAGCGAUGAAGAUUGGUGCUUGCACCAAUUUGAAGAGCAGCGAACGGGUGAGUAACGCGUGGGUAAUCUGCCUUUGAGCGUGGGACAACAUUUGGAAACGAAUGCUAAUACCGCAUAAUAACUUUAAACAUAAGUUUUAAGUUUGAAAGAUGCAAUUGCUUCACUCAAAGAUGAUCCCGCGUUGUAUUAGCUAGUUGGUGAGGUAAAGGCUCACCAAGGCGAUGAUACAUAGCCGACCUGAGAGGGGGAGCGGCCAAAAUGGGACUGAGACACGGCCCAAAAUCCUAACGGAGGCAGCAGGAGGGAAACUUCGGCAAAGGACGAAAGGCUGACCGAGCAACGCCGGGUGAGGGAAGAAGGGUUUCGGAUCGGAAAAAUCUGUUGGUAGAGAAGAACGUUGGUGAGAGUGGAAAGCUCAUCAAGUGACGGUAACUACCCAGAAAGGGACGGCUAACUACGUG
rnacentral:rRNA from 1 species